UCCAGGGUAGCCUAGUGGUCAUGGCAUCUGCCCGGUUAGCGGAAGGUCGUGGGUUCGAUUCCCAUCCCUUGAAA
rnacentral:tRNA from 1 species